rnacentral:lncRNA from 1 species
CCGGUCAAGAUAGUUCAUUUCUGAAGUUGGGUCAUCCUCCUCAUCAUCAACCUCCACCUCUUUUGGCACCGAGACUGAGCUUUCCGACACCGAACUAUGGCGAAAAUGGAGCAAUUUGGGGUGGGUUUUCGCGGGGUUUGUGGGGAAUUUGAGCUGGGUUUUGGUGGGGUUUGUGAGAGAGUUGAAUCUGUAGAUGGGUUUGUGAGAUUGGAGUGUUGGGGUUGUGAUUUUUGUAGGGUUUAAGCUGAGACCAGCCAUGGAUGGUUCAGCACGAGUUUUGUGUA